rnacentral:misc_RNA from 1 species
CAUUCCCGCGCGUGCCGUUGCCACCCCUCCAUCGUGACCACCUCUCCCUCAGCGCAGCGUCAAGAGCGAGUCAGCGGAGGGGACGCGGAAACGGAGCCCAAGGCGGGGACGAGCAGAGAAGUGGAGGCUGGACCCCCUGACACGGGAUCACUGGCGCGCGGCCGGAACACACGCACGCACCCCUCGGCGUCCUUCUCUCGCUCUGCCCGCGUGCGGGUGCGUUUUUCCGUUACCCGCCAAGCGCACGGCGACCGAGGGCUGAGCUCAGCCGCCGCCGCUCCUCCAGCUGCUCCACCUCUUCGUGAGCACGACAGCGGCCUGCCUUCAGGUGAGCUCUGUCCUGCUGCUCAUCAGCGCGCACACGCGUAGAGGCACGCGAGCAGUUCCAGUAGGAGACCACCACCAGCCAUGUACCACCCUCUCCCGCACGGGGGUGGCGGCAGCUCGAAGAGUGUUGAGCUGCACGUGGACGGCCGCGUCUCGCAGGUCUCCCUGCAGGCGGCGGCACACGCGACCGUGGCGGACCUUCUCUCGACUGCCGUCGCAGCCUCAUUGUCAACCAUGUCAACAAAGACGCUUUCACCGCGGGAGUUGGCGAAGGGGUUUGCCUGCACCGACACGGCGGGCAACAGGGUCGACCUGAGCGCUCUGGCGGUCUCCGUCCCGCCACAGCUGGUGGUGACGCACACCGCGACUGCCGGCAGCGGUGGUGGCGGUAGCGCGGGCCGUGGCGGCGGUUCUGGCCGCUCGGUGUUGUCAGCGUCGGCACCUGGCCGUGGGCGCGGCCGGGGCAGGGGGCGCGGGCGUGGGCGAUGCGGCGGGCGGGGACGUGGCGGCGCGGCCGCUGCUGCGAAGGCUCAGAUAGCGGUCGAUGACGAGGAGGAUGGCGAAAAUGGUGUUGACGCCGAGGACGGAGAUGACGGCGAAGAGGCGGAGUCCGGCGGUGCUUUCAGAGGCAUCGCCAGCGACGGUGCCACGGCAGAGGAAGACGAGAGCGCCAGCGAUGAGCCCGACGGUACGUCGGAGGGCUACAGCUCCGACGACGAGGACAGCUCCGAAGAUGAGGACAGCGACAACGCCGACUCCUCACUGGCCACAGCGAGCACAAGCACCACCACGACGCGCUCACGGGGCGACCGCGGCGGAGCGACCUCAAGUGGCGGCCGUGGGCGUGGACGUGGUCGCAGCGGCAGUGGGCGAGUCGCGGGUCGGACGUCAGCCGCGUCUUCGCGAGGCUCCUCGGCGCCCCCGACGCCGACAGCGGCGAGCGCCACGGCUGCGCGGCGCACUCGCAGGCGCAGUGUCUCGGGAUCGCCGCUGCUCUUCACCCCUGACGGGUUACCCAUCAAGCGCAAGCGCGGGCGACCACCAAAGAGUCAGCAGCUGGCGUUUGCGACCGCCACUGCUGCUGCUGCUGACGCUGCGGCCGCAUCGAGCGGCACCAUGAGCACUGCCGCUGGUGAGAAGCCGCCGCGACGGACGCGGCGGAGCGUCAAGGAGGCGCUAGCUGAGGCGGCAACGGAGGAGGUGAAGCCACGCCGGGGUGGGCGACGCCGUCGCGCUGACGCGGAGUCAGAGGAGCUGAAGGGGCAACAACGCGCAAGCGCCAGUUACAAACUCAAGGGCCGCAGCUCUGCCGUCACCGUCGCGUCAGUUGACGACGUUACCGGCACUCUUAGCGGCAGCGACCGACGAGGUGGAUGGCGGAGGGGUAGCGGUGACGCGGUCACUAAGCGCAGUCGGUCGCCGUCACCCCCCUCACAGUCGUCUGGAAACAGCAGCACCACCACCACCGCGGCGGCGGCGACCCCGCUAUUUACUGUGCCCGCUGUGAUCGUGACCGCUGUCGAUGGCACGGGCGGCGGAUGCGCCACUCCGCUUUCCCCAGGCGCCCUCACCGCAUUGGCGAGCGGUGCGGCCACGAAUGCGGCCAGUGCGACGUCUGCUCCUGGCGCUCGUACCAUUGCCGCCCUCGAGCAGCAGCAGCAGGAGCAGCCGCUACGCCAGCAGCGCCGCCGUGUGCGCCUUACGUAUAACGCUUUCUACCCAUCAUCCGCUUUACACGCUGCGGUGCCAGCCACCAUGGGCACCUACGGCGGUAGCGGAGCGGGCGGGGGCACCGCGGGGGCACGCGCGCAUCAGGCGCACAGCACCGCCGCUGCAGCACCGUUGGAGGACCCUUCGGCGAGGCCGAUGAGGCCGCGCUACGUUUGGAACGGCGGAGACCGCUACCAGCAGCACAGCUUGCCCUCCGCGGCGUCAUCGUCGCCUGCCAACGACGUGCAGCUUGGUGGUCGUGGCGUGCGGACGAUUUUCAGCGAGGCGUGGGCCACGCUGUCUUCUUGCCUCAGCAGCACUACAGAGCGCCAAGGCGCUUCAUCCACUGCGAGCGUGUCCCCCACGAUGGUGGACCCCUCACACACGACGAGUGCAAGCCAGCUUUACAUGCAGGCGCAGCGGAUCGUGUCCUCGUGGCGUGCCGAGCAGCACCGCACGCCGUCAAUGUUGCUUAGCCACCCCUACAGCCCGCUGUUGAUGCCUGGACUGCGCGUGUAUCAGCACCCGCUGCCGCUGCUGGCGUCGACACCCGCUUCUCUCGCAGCGCCGGCGGACGCCAACGCGGCGACGCCCAGCACUGAUCGGCUCAGUGCCGUAAAGGCGGAAGCGGACGACGAGGAAAGCGGCGCGGGGUCGCGCCAUCGCCGCCAUCAUCGAUGUGGCGCUGCACCACACACGACAUCGGUGGCGGCCGCUGGGCCCGGUGCGGAGUGCGGCAGCAGCCGCGUGUACUGCUAUCCGAACCAGACGCUGAUUGUUCCCGUGGUCGUCGGCGGCUGCGUGCAGCUCGUCAACCCGGAGAGCAAGGACAAGAGCCACCAGUGGACGGUGUACGUGCGCGGCUUGUGGAACGGCCAUCCGGAGGAGGUCGCCGGCGCGAAUGUGCGGCCGCCGUCGUCAUCGCACGUGCAGCAGCUCAGGGCAUUCCCCUCGUCGCCGUCCUCGACACCACCUGCUCGGUCGAACAACUCGCGCGCCAGCCUCGGCGACAGCAGCGCGGCUGCUGACCGUGGUGGUGGCGGGGGCGCUGCUGCUGCUGCUGCCGCCCUCGGCGCGAUGGGCGAUUCGCAGGCCUCCGUCUUUAGCGCCUCGACCGCAUCGCCGGAUGACUACCUGUCGGACUUCAUUGACAAGGUGGUGUUCGUACUGGACGAGAGCUUCGUGCCGUGUGUGCGCACCGUCUCCUCGGCUCCAUUUGAGCUGACGGAGGUGGGGUGGGGCGAGUUCAUUGUGUCUAUGCACGUGUACCUGAAGGUGCCGGUGCACACCAGCGCCUCCCGGCGGGCACAGGGGCAGCUCCUCGAGUACUACUGCGGCUUCAACGGCCGCACUGCAAUGCAGACGUGCGACGGUCGUGGCACGAAGCCGCACGACCCCGUCUCGACGUACGUCACUGGCGGCGUGCGUGGCCCGAGACACUUGUGGAAUGCACUGACGACGCCGCCGCCGAGCACGUCGGGCACUGUACCGCCCACCCCGGCGCUGUCGCUGCAUGAGCUGCGCCACGAGUGUCACUACGACAGCUUGCUCGACAUCAACUCGAACAGCGGGGCGCGUGCGACCUACUACCGUGGCCCAUACCUGCCGGUGCACUUGGUGACAUGCGAUGCGACGUCUUCCUCAGCCUCCUCGCAGCCGUCAUCAUCAUCGAGUGACAGCGACGCGGAUGGUGGCGGUGGUAGCGACGGCGCACGCGGCCGCAGCGGCAGCGAGGUGUCCAUCUGUGGUGGUAGUCCCACGGACAGCGCCCACGCACUCUCGUUCCCGACCAAGUCCGAGAUGAGCGGUGACGGGUCGUUUUCCUCUUCCCGCAGCGGAAGCGUCACUCCCAGUCCGGCGCCAGCGCCUCAGCAUCACGCAAGCCUGUCCUCGCAGCAGCACGAGGCGAGGAUGGGUGGGUCGAACACCGCACACACCAGCAGCGGUUGCAUCGCUGAUGGGCAGCCGCUCGCGGGCAUCGCCGCUGGCGUGGCGGACGCGUCUUCGCCGCACGCGCGACCGCCACCGCUGCCGGUGCCGACUGUCGGUCGCGGCACCGGCCGGCGCCCCCGCGGCUUUGGUGCUUCGCGAGCGCGCAGCGGUACGCCCCGCAGCCCUGCCAACGCAGGCGCUCCCGGCGCUGCAGGUGGCGGCGGCGUGCACCGCACCUUCACAGAGGUGCACGUCGGCCACGGCGGCAACGUGGUGGUGCUGCAGCACCUGCUGCGAUUUAGUCACCGUCCUCGCUACGCAGCCGCUAUUCCGCCAGCUCGAGACCCGCGCACGCAGGGAGUGCACCCAGAGCUGCUGGGCUACACGAUGGUGGCGGAGCCCGUCGUCACGGAGCAGUAUGACGAGCUCGUCAUCCCGCUGGAGCCUUUCGCUGCCGUGGCAGGGCGGGGACGCAGUCAGGCCAGCCGCCGGCGGCAGACGACGCAGCGAAAGGGUGGCGAAGCAUCACCGAAGAAGCCUGACACCGCGAGUGCCGAGGCGAAGCUGCACCACCUGAUGGCAGCGUCGAGCAGUCUCGAGGGCCACCUGCGCGCCACGUUGCGGCGUCAGCUCUUCUUGAUGUGCGAUGACUCGCCAUCGCAGUCGUUCCACGCGCUGCCGCCGCUGUCCAACAGCGAGGCGCAGGCGCUCGGCCACCCGGGCGGCAUCUCUUGCUGGCCGCACGUCCUCGACUACGGCAACGGCAUCGAGCGUGACACAUCCUACACCGCUGCCUACCUCGCGAGCAUCGCGACGAGCGCAGAGAUGGAGGGCUGGUUGUCGCAAGCACUCGGGGCACGGCGGGCGGCGCUGUUUGGCUCGCCGGCGGCGCCUUGUGCCUGGGUCACCACUGCCGACGACGCUGAAGAGCCGCAGCCGCAGCCGCAGCGUGACGGCGAGGCAGCGGGAGGGUGUAAGACGGAGGGGGAGGGCUGCGAUGGAGUGGCGAACCGACUGCCCGGCCGAGUGGCCAUUCCAUCCCUCAUCCCAAAUCCGACCACCACCGGGACGUGGCUGACUGCGCUGGAGUACGACAUGGCGAGUGCACUCUUGCGCCUCGCCGCCGGUGCCUCCGUGGUGACGGCACACGACGUCUUCUUCCACGUCGUUUUGCCGCGCGCCGACGACAUUGGUGCAGCCGUCUGGUGCAACCUCCACGAAGGAACCCACGCAGCACUGACUCGGGCGAGCGCGGUCGGAGCCUUCCCUUCGGAUGCCACUGGCGCCGCCGCGCUCAAGGCGGAGCCAGCGUUUGGGUGCACCUCAGAAGUGCAGCAGGAGGCCAAGAAAGGCGCAGACGUGAGAAUGGAGCAGGCGUACGCCGACGAGGAGCGUGAUGGUAACGAGAUGCUGUCUGUGUCCUCAGCGACGGCGCUUUCUCGCGGAUAUCCCCUCUGCUCCCUGCGCCCCAGUGACACCGGCAUUGCCGCACUGCGCAACGUGCUCUGCGCGAACAAAGGCAGCGGCUCCGCCAGCGCCACUCACCACCCAAGCCAGGAAGCGCUCAUGGCGUCGCUGCUCCGUGACGGCCAAAGCCGCGGCAGCUUCGGCCACGACAGCGAUGUGGCGCAGCUGAUGACAUGGAAAGCGGCGCUGGAGGACGCCAUCGACACCAUGCGCGUCGAAGCGGCGCGCCGGCAGGCCACCGCAGUCAUGGAGGAUCUGUAAGCUGACGUGGGCGUGGUGGCAGCGAUGCAGGUGAGGGGGGGGGCGAGAUCAGCGCGGCAACGCCGCUUGGCCUUGUCUGCGCAGGGCACACGCGUGCCAUGCGGCAAGGGAAGGUGGACAGCCCAGCCGACGAGGUUUCCUCAACGUAGAAGAGACUAAGAAAGACAACAGGAACAACACCAACGUCG